GACGUAGGAUGCGAGCGUUAUUCGGAUUUAUUGGGCGUAAAGCGUGCGUAGGCGGCUGUUUAAGUCUGGUGUUAAAGCUAGAGGCUCAACCCCUGUGGUGCAUCGGAUACUGGGCAGCUUGAGUGCGGUAGGGGAAGGUGGAAUUCCGAGUGUAGCGGUGAAAUGCGUAGAUAUCAGGAGGAACACCAGUGGCGAAGGCGGCACUCUGGGCCGGUACUGACGCUGAGGAGCGAAAGCGUGGGGAGCGAACAGG
rnacentral:rRNA from 1 species